AUGGCCAAGCGCCUCUUCCAUUCUUGCCGCUCCCCGUCCGCCGCCGCCGUGGUCACCCCGGCCACCAACCUCCUCGCCAAGCACCACUCGCCGGCCUUCACACCCCCCGCAGGCGGAUGCUGUCCGCGCGGCCUCACUCACCGGCGGCCGCUGCCGCCGGAGACCUGCAGCGCCAGGGGCUGCGCUGCCGACUACACUGCCGACGACCUCCCUCCGGCCCGCGGAACGCCCGCCUACCGCUGGCUGAAGAGCUCUCACUGGCACGUCAUCGAGGCCGCCACCGACGGCGACGACACGCCUCGCCUCAAGAUCGACGCGCGGCGCCGGCUGCGGCGCUCCCGGCGCCGCCGCCGGCUCCACCGCAAGGCGGCCAUUGAGAGCCUGUCGUCCGGCGACAGCGGGUGGUUCAGCAGCAGCGAGGAGCCGAGCGCGUACAGCAGCCGCAGCGUCGAGGCGGAGGCGACGCUGGUCACGUCCACCGCGACGGAGACCUCGUCGGGGGUGAGCGGGAGCUCCGGCGUCGCGGCGGCCGCCGCGGCGGAGGCGGUGGUGGCCGGGAGCUUCGCGGUGGUGAAGCGCUCGGACGACCCCCGGGCCGACUUCCGGCUGUCCAUGGCGGAGAUGGUGGUGGGCCGCGGCAUCUACGACGCCGACGGGCUGGAGCGCCUGCUGCGGUGCUUCCUGGCGCUGAACGACCAGCGCCACCGCCGCGACAUCGUCGACGCCUUCGGCGACGUGUGGGAGGCCGUGUUCGCCAGCCCACUGCCGCACGGCGCCGUCACCUCCGCGCCUGCCGCGAGCUGCCGCGCGGCCGCUGCAGGGGCGCCUCGUCAGUAG
rnacentral:rRNA from 1 species